CCCUUAGAUGUUCUGGGCUGCACGCGCGCUACACUGGUGCGUUCAGCGAGUUUAGCACCUUAACAGAUAUGUUUGGGUAAUCUUCUGAAAACGCACCGUGAUGGGGAUCGAUUAUUGUAAUUAUUAAUCGUCAACGAGGAAUUCCUAGUAAGUGUGAAUCAUCAGUUCGCGCUGAUUACGUCCCUGCCCUUUGUACACACCGCCCGUCGCUCCUACCGAUUGAGUGGUCCGGUGAGGCUUUGGGAUCUGAGCGGAAAGAGCGUUUCGCUGUUUCUGCUCGGAAAACUCAGUCGAACCUUAUCAUUUAGAGGAAGGAGAAGUCGUAACA
rnacentral:rRNA from 1 species